UGAUUAUAUUGAUACAACAAAACCAAUAGCAAUGCGACCUAAAUCAUCACUAGUGUUAUCAUAUUGAUAAAACGUCCUACCCAGAAUUUCGRUACCUGCAUUGUCUUUGUUAAUGAUUGGACAAGUCAAAAAAUUCCACUGGAUUGUGAUUYGUGCAUAGGACACAAAGGACUAAAUAAAUAUAAUGUUUUAAUAAAUAAUGCACUGUUUAUUUUAAGGUUUUUCCAUUAAUUAUCAAUUAAACAGUUAAAAACAGGUUUUUUCAUUAUAACUAUAUAGGAAUGUAUAGACAUAAUAAGAAAGUUUUAAUGUUACAAAACACAUAAUUCCAUAAUAAAUAAUUUAUUUACAAGUAAUAUUGUUUUCGCUUUUAUUUACAAAUAAUUUUUUUAGAAUAUUGAGAAUAUAAAUUAGAGUUGCGUUAAAAAAUACUCCAAUGCAUAACUGUGACUUGACAUUAAACAAUUAAUACUUUUAAGUGGAAUUAAAAACAAAAAAAUGUUGUCUGCAUGCAACCACCAAAGAAGAAACCCAAUAGAAUGAAGCAACAAAACUCACUGAAACAUAAAUUAAACACAAACGAAGAAAAAAUAUUAGGACAGGUAACAAAAAAAAGAAACACAAAUGCAAUAAGUAAUUAAAAUAUUUAUAUAAAUAAAACAUUCUUCAAUAACAUCAUAGGCGUAAUUUGGGGGAUGCUUCGAAGUGCUUUGCACCCUUAGAUGUAUAACAGGCAA